UAACACGUGGGCAACCUGCCUCAUAGAGGGGAAUAGCCUUCCGAAAGGGAGAUUAAUACCGCAUAAGAUUGUAGCUUCGCAUGAAGUAGCAAUUAAAGGAGCAAUCCGCUAUGAGAUGGGCCCGCGGCGCAUUAGCUAGUUGGUGAGGUAACGGCUCACCAAGGCGACGAUGCGUAGCCGACCUGAGAGGGUGAUCGGCCACAUUGGGACUGAGACACGGCCCAGACUCCUACGGGAGGCAGCAG
rnacentral:rRNA from 1 species